rnacentral:rRNA from 1 species
CAGCGGCAAAGUCCGUGCCAGCAACUGAGGUAAUACGGAGGAACAAGCGUUAUCCGGAAUUAUUGGGUUUAAAGGGAACGUAGACGGCCUUGUAAGUCCGUAUGUGAAAGGCGUGCAGCUCAACCUUUGAACGUCCAUGGAUACUGACAAGCUUGAGUACAGGAGAGGAAGAAGGAAUUGCCAGUGUAGCGGUGGAAUGCAUAGAUAGCAUCAAGAACACCCAUUGCGUAGGCAGCUUUCUGGACAGCAACUGACGCUGAGGCACGAAAGUGUGGGGAGCGAACAGGAUUAGAUCCCCGGGUAGUCCACUCCGUAAACGAUGCUUACUUGGUGUUGGCCAUUUGCGGUCAGUGCCGUAGCUAACGCGUUAAGUAUGCCGCCUGGAUACCCGCGGUGG